GCAGACACAUUCCAGCCAAUCAGCAGCAGACCCUCCCUCCCAGACCCUCCACCUCCUGGACAGCUCACUAAGAAUGCAGCUUCAAAAUGGAUGCUGUCCAGGAGGUGGGAGGGUCUGGGAGGGAGGGUCUGCUGCUGAUUGGCUGGAAUGUGUCUG